UCGGAAGGAAUAACCGCUGAAAGCAUCUAAGCGGGAAAUCUGCCUCAAGAUGAGUUCUCCCUCAGCUUCGGCUGCUAAAGACUCCCGGUAGACCACCGGGUUGAUAGGCCGGAAGUGUAAGCGUGGCGACAUGCUCAGCUAACCGGUACUAAUAAGUCGUGCGGCUUUUAGCU
rnacentral:rRNA from 1 species